rnacentral:rRNA from 1 species
UACGUAGGUGACAAGCGUUGUCCGGAUUUACUGGGCGUAAAGAGCGCGCAGGCGGUCGUUUCAAGUCGAGUGUGAAAGCCCCCGGCUCAACUGGGGAGGGUCACUCGAUACUGAUCGACUCGAAGGCAGGAGAGGGUAGUGGAAUUCCCGGUGUAGUGGUGAAAUGCGUAGAUAUCGGGAGGAACACCAGUGGCGAAGGCGACUACCUGGCCUGUUCUUGACGCUGAGGCGCGAAAGCUAGGGGAGCAAACGGG